AGAGGGAGGAAGGAAGGAACUGCAACUCGCUGGACCAAGGGUGGAGGGAGAAAACCGAUUUGGGACUCGGAGGGGUUACUUCGGGCGCAAAGCUAAACCGGGUCAAUGUGUGGACUAUUGGGACGCUCGCCCGGCAAACCUUCACAAUGGACGGAACCCCGAUUAAGGAGGCUCUCUCAGUGGUGAGUGAAGACCAGUCCCUCUUUGAUUCCACCUACGGAGCUGCUGCUCACCUCCCCAAAGCAGACAUGACAGCCUCAGGGAACCCCGAUUAUGGCCAACCGCACAAAAUCAACCCUUUACCUCCCCAGCAGGAAUGGAUCAAUCAGCCAGUCCGGGUCAACGUUAAGAGGGAAUAUGAUCAUAUGAAUGGAUCCAGGGAGUCCCCAGUGGAUUGCAGUGUUACCAAAUGCAACAAGCUGGUUGGUGCUGGGACAGAAUCCAAUCCCUUGAAUUAUGGCACCUACAUGGAUGAGAAGAACGGCCCUCCACCCCCCAACAUGACAACCAAUGAGAGGAGAGUCAUUGUUCCAGCAGACCCCACAUUAUGGUCCCAGGAACAUGUACGUCAGUGGCUGGAGUGGGCCAUAAAGGAGUAUGGCUUAAUGGAGAUUGACACCAACUUCUUCCAAAACAUGGAUGGAAAAGAACUGUGCAAGAUGAACAAGGACGAUUUCCUCCGGACCACUUCCCUCUACAACACAGAAGUUCUGCUCUCACACCUCAGUUACCUCAGGGAAAGUAGCUCACUGCUGUCUUACAACACCCAAGCCCACACGGAGCCAUCCUCUCGACUCAAUACCAAAGAAGAUGCCUCCUAUGAUGCAGUUAGGAGAUCGGGAUGGGGCAAUAACAUGAAUUCCAGUCACAACAAAAGUCCUCCUCUGGGAGGAACGCAAAAUGUGAGCAAAAAUGUAGAGCAGCAGCGAUCCCAGCCAGAUCCCUAUCAGAUUUUAGGACCCACCAGCAGCCGUUUAGCCAAUCCAGGGAGUGGGCAAAUCCAGUUAUGGCAGUUCCUCCUUGAGCUGCUGUCAGACAGCUCCAAUGCAAGCUGCAUCACGUGGGAAGGAACCAAUGGGGAAUUCAAGAUGACGGACCCUGACGAGGUGGCCAGGCGCUGGGGAGAACGCAAGAGCAAACCCAACAUGAAUUACGACAAGCUGAGCCGAGCCCUCCGGUAUUACUAUGACAAGAACAUUAUGACCAAAGUUCAUGGCAAGAGGUAUGCUUAUAAAUUUGACUUUCAUGGCAUCGCCCAAGCUCUUCAGCCUCACCCGACUGAGUCAUCAAUGUACAAAUAUCCUUCAGAUCUUUCAUACAUGCCUUCAUAUCACACGCACCAGCAGAAAGUGAACUUUGUGCCUCCACACCCUUCCUCUAUGCCCGUCACUUCUUCUAGUUUCUUUGGAGCUGCAUCGCCAUAUUGGACAUCCCCUACAGGAAGUAUUUACCCAAAUCCCAAUGUGCCACGCCAUGCUAACUCCCAUAUGCCAUCACACCUGGGCAGCUACUACUAGAUGCUUUUCAUCUUUGGUGCCCUUUCUCGGUUUGAUUGGAUGCUCUCUUCCAUUCUUGGAUAUCUCUGGACUUUUUGAUAGACAUUCACCUUUUAGUCGGGGAGAAAGCUGAAAAACUGGAUAUUAUUAUUAUUAUUUUUAUUAUAAUUAUUAUUGGAAUAAACUUUUUUAUUUUUGUAACCCUGCUUCUUCUGUCUUGAAUGGCAGAUGAUUCUCCGAUGGGCCAGUAUUGUAUGUUUUAUUUUGGUUCUAAGCCUUAUAUCCUCGAUAGGAAUAACUCAACUGCUUUACGGACUGUGCAGUGAUUAUCACUUCAGAUCUUAGACAAAGCAUUGUCAAGUCCAAGGCUUUUUGGAAGAAGAAAACAAGACCAAGACCUCUGAGUCUAUGAAGAUUAAUGUUUGUUUGUUCCAGACUAAUGACAAUGACAGGUUCUUUUCCAGUUUUUGGAGAGGAGAAGAAAGUUCAAAUACUAUGGGAACCUGAUUUGGAGAAACCAACUGGAAUCUUAGCUUUAAAGCCAAACAAGGCUUGUCUUUUUUCACCCAACUGGAAAAAAAGGAAAGAAAUGUGUGUGUAUGUGUGGCAUUGAAAGGACGUUUCGAGAAUGUGCAUUGUGUUAUACGGUUUUAUUAAUAUCUCUGGAAACAUCCAAGACAAGAAAAAAAAGUUAUAAUGCAUCAAGGACAGCUAUUCUUAUGAAUGAGAAAUGGAACUAAUAUAAACGACAGCAAAUCCCCAAACUUUGCCAGAGUUCUGGGAGUUGCAAAAACAUAACCGAUUCACAAACGCUGUGCGUUUGUCAGACUGCUACUCAGAGGGUCAACCAAGUCAGAAGGCAACUUACUGUAUAAAUUAUGCAGAGUUAUGUUUUUAUCUAUAUCUCACAGUAUUGAAAAGGAUGAAAACUAAAACGAGUUGACCUCGGUCACAAAUGCAAUUAUUUUUUACUAUCAAAUCCAUUGUUGUUGUUGUUUUUAACAUGUACAUCUUUUCAAUCUGUACAUUUGGGUUGCAGCUUUGUAUUUUUUUGGCUAAUAAAAUAAACUUUUUUUAAAA